rnacentral:rRNA from 1 species
GACGAACGCUGGCGGCGUGCUUAACACAUGCAAGUCGAGCGGAAAGGGCCUGCUUGCUGGGUACUCGAGUGGCGAACGGGUGAGUAACACGUGGGUGUUCGGCUCUGCACUUCGGGAUACGUCUGGGAAACUGCGUCUAUUACCGGUAAGGCGCCAUUUUUAGUGUGAUGGUUGGUAAGUUUUUUCGGUGUCGGGUGAGCCGGCGGCCUAUCAGCUUGUUGGUGGGGUAAUGGCCUACCAAGGCGGCGACGGGUAGCCGGCCUGAGAGGGUGGACGGCCACAUUGGGACUGAGGUACGGCCCAGGCGCCGACGGGAGGAAGCAGGGGGGAAGAUUGCACAAGGGGCGCAAGGCGGAUGCAGCGACGCCGCGUGGUGGAAGACGGCCUUCGGGUUGAAAACGCCUUGCGCUAGGGACGAAGCUUGUUGUGACGGUACCUAGAGAAGAAGCACCGGCUAACUACGUG